rnacentral:rRNA from 1 species
UGGGGGAUAUUGCACAAUGGAGGAAACUCUGAUGCAGCGACGCCGCGUGAGGGAAGACGGUCUUCGGAUUGUAAACCUCUGUCUUUGGGGAAGAAAAUGACGGUACCCAAAGAGGAAGCUCCGGCUAACUACGUGCCAGCAGCCGCGGUAAUACGUAGGGAGCGAGCGUUGUCCGGAAUUACUGGGUGUAAAGGGAGCGUAGGCGGGCGAGAAAGUUGAAUGUUAAAUCUACCGGCUUAACUGGUAGCUGCGUUCAAAACUUCUUGUCUUGAGUGAAGUAGAGGCAGGCGGAAUUCCUAGUGUAGCGGUGAAAUGCGUAGAUAUUAGGAGGAACACCAGUGGCGAAGGCGGCCUGCUGGGCUUUAACUGACGCUGAGGCUCGAAAGCGUGGGGAGCAAACAGG